rnacentral:rRNA from 1 species
GACGAACGCUGGCGGCGUGCUUAACACAUGCUAGUCGAACGGAAAGGCCCUGCUUGCAGGGUGCUCGAGUGGCGAACGGGUGAGUAACACGUGGGUGAUCUGCCCCUUACUUUGGGAUAAGCCUGGGAAACUGGGUCUAAUACUGGAUAGGACCAUGCUGUAGGUGGUGUGGUGGAAAGAUUAGUUUCGGUAAGGGAUGAGCUCGCGGCCUAUCAGCUUGUUGGUGGGGUAAUGGCCUACCAAGGCGUCGACGGGUAGCCGGCCUGAGAGGGUGGACGGCCACAUUGGGACUGAGAUACGGCCCAGACUCCUACGGGAGGCAGCAGUGGGGAAUAUUGCACAAUGGGCGCAAGCCUGAUGCAGCGACGCCGCGUGGGGGAUGACGGCCUUCGGGUUGUAAACUCCUUUCAGCCAUGACGAAGCCCUUGUGGUGACGGUAGUGGUAGAAGAAGCACCGGCUAACUACGUG